rnacentral:lncRNA from 1 species
UGAAAUAGGAGGAAACAAAAACUUAUGUUAGAUUGUUUUUUUUAAUUAUGAAGAAGAAAAAUGGAGUAUUGAAGUUAGUGUGAAGAAGAUGGAUUUUUGGUGGUUAUGUAAGGUGUUGUAGAAGUAAAGAUGACACGAAGAUCUUGGUGUAGCAUGUGGUGUUGUAUGGAGGUGAAGACUGUUAAAAAAUUUUGAUGGUUCAUGUUAGAUUGAAGAGGAAAAGAGAUGCAUGGGGUUAUUGAGAGUGAGAAAAAAAACUAAAGAAACAAAAUAAAAUAGAGGAGGAAAAUACAAAGUUGGGUGAGGGAUGGAGGUGGUGGAGAUGAUUCGUAAAAAAUUCAAAGAUAAUAGGUUU